rnacentral:rRNA from 1 species
UACGUAGGGUGCAAGCGUUGUCCGGAAUUAUUGGGCGUAAAGAGCUCGUAGGCGGUCUGUCGCGUCGGCUGUGAAAACCCGGGGCUCAACCCCGGGCCUGCAGUUGAUACGGGCAGACUAGAGUGCGGUAGGGGAGACUGGAAUUCCUGGUGUAGCGGUGAAAUGCGCAGAUAUCAGGAGGAACACCGGUGGCGAAGGCGGGUCGCUGGGCCGUAACUGACGCUGAGGAGCGAAAGCGUGGGGAGCGAACAGG